AUAAGACAAGAAAUUAUGACAGUGCAACAGUUGUGGGUAUUGAGAUAGGAACAUUAAUUCAAUUCUCAACUUUGGAUACCAAGACAUCCCGCAUCUUUGUAUUCUUGUGGCCUGCUGCAAUGGUAGCUCCAUUCAUAGCAGGAAAUCUGCGAUAAAAAUUACUGGCCCCCACUUUGAUCCCUAUCAUAUCAAGAUUAGAGGCACACAAUGGAGUGGUCCUUCCCUUUCCAACCCAAAACUCUUUUUAACGGUCGCUAAGAUAUUGUUUGUCCAUUACCCAAUUAUUCCCAAGCUUCUUAAAAUUUUUCAAUCAAAAUCAAAAUUAGAGAAAAUGGUAACAUUCCAUCAAGAACUCAAUCAUGGCCAAUGAAAUUGAAGUCGUGAUUUAUAAUAUGAGGUUAUCAAACUCAACAAAGUUGUGCGGUGAAUGCCCACAUGGAAAAGCAUGGAAUGACAAGGUUAACUCUAAGUUGGGCCAAGGUUUCGAUUCACGCCCACCCAAAAAUCAUUCGUAAUGGACCGGUCAUUGUCAGGACUAACGCGAGACCACACCAAUAAUUUCACCUUAUAAUUUCUGAUUUGUGUUUUUGGAAGGUUGGCAGGUUGGUUAAUUACACUCGCAAUGCAACUAAAACUUUCAGACCUUUUUUUUUUUUUACAGUGUUUUUACAUUUAUUUAUUUACAAGGUUUAAGGGCUAAAAUAUAAGAGGUCAGCAAAUAUUAGGCUAAAAAGCCUAAGACUAGCCCAUACAAAACAACCCCAAACCUAGAAAACAUAACUCUAGAAGACCAGAUAACUAAGCACUCGAAACCAUUGCAGCGCGGGCGAUUCUUCUAGCAGUUGGAGCUGGAGCGAAACAACUGGAAGGGACGAGAAGGAAGUUUCCACAACAAACAAGAGAAACUGUCUCCUUACUAGAGCCACCACCUUAAACUCGAACCCAGCCAAACUCUAAACCUCUAGAGUCAACAAAACGCCACUAGCAACAACAACCAUCAAACGGGUUAAUGGCUGAUAAGUCACGGCCUUUAGUCUCAUAUACCCUAAAAGGGGUGUCAGCACUGAAUGAGACUAGCUUAAUAUCCCGUGAUACCCAUUACCACAAAUAUAAAGAACCCUCCUAAAGGAGGGCAACCACUAUCAUCAGCAAGUGGCGUGGCUCAAACCAACCAAUACAAGCUCCACAGAUCUUCAAACAAGCGCUCACUUUGUCUCCAGAUCUACAGAAACCAACAAAAUCAAAACCCUAUAUACUCCCAACCCAAGUGGGAGAGAGCUACCAGCAAGCCAAGCUAGGAAGAGUGACGUCUUCCCCGGUCCUAUUGAAAAGGGACGCUCUGCUAAACUGCGAAAGUAAACAGUGGGAAAACUUUUUAGGGAAAUUUCUCUCUCUAAAACUUUAGAGAGAGAAAAUCCUGUGCAAGAAUUGUAUUGGGAGAGUAUAUUUAGAUAGAAAUUUAGAUGCAUUCUGAUAUAAUUAUCAAAAGAUAGUUUAAGAACAUGAUAUGUAUUAAAACUUAAUUAUGGUUAUUUUGUGUUUAUUUUUCAUUAAAAUUUAUAUUUAAAAUUUUAUAAUCAU
rnacentral:misc_RNA from 1 species